AACGAACGCUGGCGGCAGGCUUAACACAUGCAAGUCGAACGCUCCGCAAGGAGUGUGGCAGACGGGUGAGUAACGCGUGGGAACGUACCUUUCAGUUCGGAAUAACUCAGGGAAACUUGUGCUAAUACCGGAUACGCUCGUAAGAGGAAAGAUUUAUCGCUGAAAGAUCGGCCCGCGUUGGAUUAGCUAGUUGGUGGGGUAAUGGCCUACCAAGGCGACGAUCCAUAGCUGGUCUGAGAGGAUGAUCAGCCACACUGGGACUGAGACACGGCCCAGACUCCUACGGGAGGCAGCAGUGGGGAAUAUUGGACAAUGGGCGAAAGCCUGAUCCAGCCAUGCCGCGUGAGUGAUGAAGGCCCUAGGGUUGUAAAGCUCUUUCACCGAUGAAGAUAAUGACGGUAGUCGGAGAAGAAGCCCCGGCUAACUUCGUGCCAGCAGCCGCAGUAA
rnacentral:rRNA from 1 species